rnacentral:rRNA from 1 species
GUAGGGAAUCUUCCACAAUGGACGAAAGUCUGAUGGAGCAACGCCGCGUGAGUGAAGAAGGCCUUCGGGUCGUAAAGCUCUGUCAUCAGGGACGAAUGGCCGGUGGAGUGGAAAGCCACCGGAUUGACGGUACCUGAGAAGGAAGCCACGGCUAACUACGUGCCAGCAGCCGCGGUAAUACGUAGGUGGCAAGCGUUGUCCGGAAUUAUUGGGCGUAAAGCGCGCGCAGGUGGGAUCUUAAGUCCAUUUUGAAAGUUCGGAGCUCAACUCCGUGAUGGGAUGGAAACUGGGAUUCUUGAGUACCGGAGAGGAAAGCGGAAUUCCCCGUGUAGCGGUGAAAUGCGUAGAUAUGGGGAGGAACACCAGUGGCGAAGGCGGCUUUCUGGACGGUGUCUGACACUGAGGCGCGAAAGCCAGGGGAGCGAACGGGAUUAGAAACCCCGGUAGUCC